UAGAAAGAAACCAAAAUAAACAUAAAAGUAUUUAAAGACAGUGAAAAGGACAUAAAAGAAAGGAAAGGAGGACGUUGAGGUGGAAACGAAAAAGAUUAUUCGUUAUUCAAUAUCUUAGAAGAAAAAUAACGAUAAACGGAAUGAUAUGAUUCGUUAUUACGAAAUAAUGACGUCAUUAACGUCAAGUAAGGUACUUGGGGGCGAAAACAGUUCGUAAGAAAUUCAGGGAGUAGGGGUAGUAAAAGUAAAAGAGAAUCGAAAGUGGGGUUACGAACGAGUAUAUAAAUUCGUAAAAAUUAUUGGUUCACCGAUGUGACUGACAAAAUGUGUUAGAGACGUGAACUUAUAGUCUAGGGUAAAUUCGAAUAAAUUUUUCAUUUUGUAUUUUUCAUUUUGAAUUGUAUUUUGAAAAUUAAAAGUUAUUUGACUUAGUUAAUUUUUUGUACCUUUAAUAUUAAACGUAAACUAAAUCAAUUAACUUUCAUUACUUGAGAUUGAAGGAAAGAGAAGAAAGGCGAGUGAGAGAGAGAAAGAGAGAGAGGAAAGAUUUAUCUACGUUUGUAUAUGAGUUUGUGUAUUUCAUUAUUUGUUAGAAAUCUAAAUUGUUAUUUAACAUUUAAAAGGAAAAGUUUGGUGGUCGUCGAUUUCUCUGAUUUUAUAUAUCUACGUUAUCAAAUCGAGGUAGUAGAAGAAGAAAUUGAUCAAGGAUUUUUCUUUCUAGGAAAAGAUAGGUAUAUGCAUUUUCUAUUUUUUUCUAUUUUUCUUUUUACAUCUUCCUACUUGGUCCAAGGAAUGUACCGUUCCGAUUUCUAAUUACUUACGUAUAGAAAUUAAAGGAAUAUUUAGAAAAAGAGAGCAAAACUAUGUCGUUUGCGAAAUCAAUUUUGACUUUGUCUUUGAUCGUAUGCCUUUUAUAAUCUAUUUGGAAUAAGACAAGUUAUUACUACAAUAUCUAUUAAAUUUCUUGUUGCUGUUUAGUAUUUUUUGAUAAAUAAGUACUUUUGAGAAUGGAGAGCAUUUUGUAUGAGAGUAUUAAGUAAGAAGGAUCAUUCGUCAUUUUAAGGUAAAACGUUUUCUCGUUCGGUAACCUCCUCGCCGAUUUGUAUUCCGCGAAUUUGUCGGUUACGUUAUUAUCGCUCAUUGAAAUCUUUUAUUCUCGGAAAAUUUCAUAGAUUUUAAAAUAAACUUUGCAAGAUUAUUCGCAUUUCUUUUUCUUAUCUUAAGCGAGCCAGUCAUAUAUUCUUGAUUUGUUAUUUUGAUGUAAAACAACUAAUUUAUAUAAACGAGGAGAUAUUUCGAUAUUUCGUUUUUCCCCUCCAUUCUUUUCUUUUUCUCUUUGUAUGUGUCUUUUUCUUAAAUGUGGCCAUUACUUUCUUCGAGUCAUUUCAAUGAUAUUCGAGCACAUUUUAUAUCGUUUCCACUGUUUCUUUGCCGCGACUUCUCUAUUUAUGAAAAUUUGACAUUUGAUUUAACUUUCGACACGAUUAUCGAUUUCUAUUAUCACAGUUUUAAAAGGCAAAUAAUUUUUUAAUCAUAUAAGUGAUAUCAAUAAAAGAUGAUUUUAUUAUUCCUGACUCUUUCUUUUUUAUCCUUUUUCGAUGUUAACGAAUAAAAUGAGGUUGAACGUGAAAACUUCUUUUCCUCUCUUUGAAACGUGACAAACGGUUCUCGAGCCUUCUACUAUGACCCUCGGCUCGUAGAUAAAGUAAGGGACAAUGAGAUUUGACCAAAAGUCAAAAAUAUCAUUUUUCAUUUCUAUCGUUGCUCCACUUAAAUAAAUCAACUGGACCUACCUACGUUACUUUUCCUUUUUAUUUUCUUUGAUAUUUCUAGCCAAUAGAAAAAAGAGGUGUACAAAGCUCAUGGUAACCGAAGGUUUAUUUAUAGCUUAUGUAUCAUCGUCAAUAUAUUUAACCUUCAAAUUAUUCAAACUAUCCUUUUUCGCAUUUGAUCUAACAUUUUUGUCCUUCUAAUAUACGGUUUCAAUACGUAGAGUGUAGCUAUUCGAUUAAGAAUAUCUUUUUCCUAGAUAUUAUUUAAAAAAUUUUUCAACAAUGUCCCUUCAAAAUUAGUAGCAAUAAAUUGACAAAGAGCAAUAUUAUUCCCAUUAUUCUUCAACCAUACCCGCUUGGAAUAAUACUGAUAGAACUGUAGUAAUCGUUAGAAUCUCAUUUUCUAUUUUUUUCUUCAUUUCUUAAUUUAUUGUCCUGUGUUAGUGAACUUUCAUGUAGACCUAUUUUCACAUAUAUAUACAUAAGUAGAUACUUUUCUCACUCUCUUAAUCUUCCUUGUGUUUUAUCGUUUGCAAUAUUUUCUCUUUCUCUAUCUAUAAAAUGUCGCUUUUCUAUCUUCAAUGGAAUUUUCUGGAUCAUAGAACUGAUUCUUUUUUCACUUUUUUCAGAGAAAAGUAUCAUUAGGAGAUGAGUACAACGAUUUUGGAAUAUUAUCAGAUGGAUAUGCUAGUAAUUAUACAUUUCUUAUGAUCGGAACUGUCUCAGCUACAAAUUGCAGUUUAUUAUUUUGAAAUCAUACUCAACAGCAUCCAAAUAAUGUACAUUUUAACAAACUAUUCGUAACGCACUAUGAAAGAUUUUUUAAAUGAAUAUUAACUUAUCCAUAUUAUUCAACGAAUUUAAACAAAUUGAUUAUCUUUAAUGGAUCUGAAUAGUGUUACAAAAAUCAUGUCUAUCAGGAAUAAUGGAUAUAUUUUUCUCUGUUCAAGUUAUUACGCAGAGUAUUUAAACAGAGCAAGUAUUCUCGAGCAUAUCUAAUUAUUAUAACAACAAUUUCGAUAAUCAAAAUAUUGAAAUGGACAGAGACAGAUAUCCAGAAAUGUCUGUAACGAUAGUUCUUUACCUAGUUUAGGAGAAUAAAUCGCCAAUUAUCGUCAAUUACCGUAAAUUUCUAUUACCAUCGAUAUAAAUUCCCAGGGAAGAGUAAAAACAUUUCGAUACAAAAAAUGCCAAACUCAUUGUUGUAACUAUAAAGAAUUUUGUAAUAUAAUCGAAACAAAAGAUGACACUCUACUAGCGAAUCCAAAUUAUACAUUCGUGAUAGAUUAUUUAGCACCAUAUGAAAUAUUAUUUAAAAAAUUAUUUCUGUUAAAAACCGAAUAAUCUAAUGUUCUUAUUAUGCGUAAACAAUUCAAUGCUAAAUAGCCAUUUAAAUUCUCAUUAGAUAAUUGUCGGUAUAGAUAUAUAUAGAGUUACUAUAUAAUUACUUUAUAAUGGAAUAUUAUCACUAAAAUUAUAAUAUACUCAUUUGUCGGUGAUGAUAUUGAAUUUACUGAUGAUGUUGAUUGUUUACUAAAUCUGUUGCUGAUUACAGUAUAGCACAAAAAUAGGUCUAAGAAAAAUAUCGACAGUAGAGAAUAAGCAGGAAAGGAGUUCAAUUGUCGAACGUUGAACAAAAACACGAUGCAGAAAACGAAAACUCCUUCGAGAUGAUUCUCUUCUAAAAAUCUAAUAAUCGUUAUGAUAACGUCUAUCUGACUCUUACUCAUUAAUAUAGCUGAUGUCAUGAUUAAUGGUCUAGCAAUGGAUUAAAAAUUACAGAUCAUUGUAUGCAGUUUAAUCUGUUUUGAUUUUCUUAUCCUAGAACAUUUUCCAUUAGAAAAAAAAAUACAGGAAAUGUUCGUACCAUUGAAUCUACGUAAUUUCUCAUCUUCCUUGGAACGAUGAUCAUUUGCUCGAGUAAAAGUCCAGCUAAAUCAACAAAAGCAACUGGUACUAUGCUGAACAGGGAAGGCAUAUAAAUGAUCGUCGAUAAGUUUUUUCGGAGAAUACAUUCGAAGAAGAAACAACAUCAGUAUUUUCUAAACGAAUUUUAUAAAAUCGACUCCAAUUCUCUUUGUACCUUGGAAGAUCGCUUAGAAGAUUAUCAAUUACAGAACCAUAAUAACACCGAUCAGAAGAUCAUUCGAAAAACUAUUUGAAAGAUCGUCCAGAAUAUAAAUCUUCAUUAUAUUUCAGAUAUUCGUUUAAAAAAAUGUUCAUAUUGUAAGAUCUAGCAAUGUAAUGAUUAAUAUGCUUCUAAUAAAGUUGAGUAUAAAUUCAUCAACAA